rnacentral:rRNA from 1 species
AAAAAGCUCGUAGUCGAAAUUGUGUCCUCGGCCGCCGGUUCGUCGCUCGCGACGCCAACUGGCGCGCACCGCUGGACGUCCAGCCGGUACAACUAACUCGCCUACGGGGUGCUCUUAACCGAGUGUCCAGGCGGGUGCCGGCAACGUUACUUUGAACAAAUUAAAGUGCUUAAAGCAGGCUAAAUUGCGCUCGCAUACACGCGCAUGGAAUAAUCGAAUAGGACCUCCGUUCUAUUUUGUUGGGUUUUUGUGGAACGACAGACGGAGGUAAUGAUCAAUGGGUGCGGAUGGGGGCAUUCGUAUUGCGACGUUAGAGGUGAAAUUCUUGGAUCGUCGCAAGACGGACUUAAGCGAAAGCAUUUGCCAAAAACGCUUUCAUCGAUCAAGAACGAAAGUUAGAGGUUCGAAGGCGAUCAGAUACCGCCCUAGUUCUAACCAUAAACUAUGCCAGCUAGCGAUCCGCCGAAGUUACUUCUAUGACUCGGCGGGCAGCUUCCGGGAAACCAAAGCUUUCGGGUUCCGGGGGAAGUAUGGUUGCAAAGCUGAAACUUAAAGGAAUUGACGGAAGGGCACCACCAGGAGUGGAGCCUGCGGCUUAAUUUGACUCAACACGGGAAACCUCACCAGGCCCGGACACCGGAAGGAUUGACAGAUUGAGAGCUCUUUCUUGAUUCGGUGGGUGGUGGUGCAUGGCCGUUCUUAGUUGGUGGAGCGAUUUGUCUGGUUAAU